rnacentral:rRNA from 1 species
GAUGAACGCUGGCGGCGUGCUUAACACAUGCAAGUCGAACGAAGCACUUAAACCUGAUUCUUCGGAUGAAGGUUUUUGUGACUGAGUGGCGGACGGGUGAGUAACGCGUGGGUAACCUGCCUCAUACAGGGGGAUAACAGUUAGAAAUGACUGCUAAUACCGCAUAAGACCACAGAGCAGCAUGGCUCAGUGGGAAAAACUCCGGUGGUAUGAGAUGGACCCGCGUCUGAUUAGGUAGUUGGUGGGGUAACGGCCUACCAAGCCAACGAUCAGUAGCCGCCCUGAGAGGGUGACCGGCCACAUUGGGACUGAGACACGGCCCAAACUCCUACGGGAGGCAGCAGUGGGGAAUAUUGCACAAUGGGGGAAACCCUGAUGCAGCGACGCCGCGUGAGCGAAGAAGUAUUGCGGUAUGUAAAGCUCUAUCAGCAGGGAAGAAAAUGACGGUACCUGACUAAGAAGCACCGGCUAAAUACGUGCCAGCCGCCGCGGUAACAC